rnacentral:rRNA from 1 species
GACGAACGCUGGCGGCGUGCUUAACACAUGCAAGUCGAACGGAAAGGCCCUGCUUUUGUGGGGUGCUCGAGUGGCGAACGGGGGAGUAACACGUGAGUAACCUGCCCUUGACUGUGGGAUAACUUCAGGAAACUGGGGCUAAUACCGGAUAGGAGCUCCUGCUGCAUGGGGGGGGUUGGAAAGUUUCGGCGGUUGGGGAUGGAAUCGCGGCUUAUCCGCUUGUUGGUGGGGUAGUGGCUUACCAAGGCUUUGACGGGUAGCCGGCCUGAGAGGGUGACCGGCCACAUUGGGACUGAGAUACGGCCCAGUCUCCUACGGGAGGCAGCAGUGGGGAAUAUUGCACAAUGGGCGGAAGCCUGAUGCAGCAACGCCGCGUGCGUGAUGACGGCCUUCGGGUUGUAAACCGCUUUGGCCUGUGACGAAGCGUGAGUGACGGUAAUGGGUAAAGAAGCACCGGCUAACUACGUG